AUUGAACGCUGGCGGAAUGCUUUACACAUGCAAGUCGAACGGUAGAGGGGGCAACCCCUCGAGAGUGGCGAACGGGUGAGUAAUAUAUCGGAACGUGCCCAGUCGUGGGGGAUAACGUAGCGAAAGUUACGCUAAUACCGCAUACGAUCUAAGGAUGAAAGCGGGGGAUCGCAAGACCUCGCGCGAUUGGAGCGGCCGAUAUCAGAUUAGGUAGUUGGUGGGGUAAAGGCUCACCAAGCCAACGAUCUGUAGCUGGUCUGAGAGGACGACCAGCCACACUGGAACUGCGAAACGGGCCAGACUCCUACGGGAGGCAGCAGUGGGGAAUUUUGGACAAUGGACGCAAGUCGGAUCCAGCCAUUCCGCGUGCAGGAUGAAGGCCCUCGGGUUGUAAACUGCUUUUGUACGGAACGAAAAGGUCUCUCUUAAUACGGGGGGCUCAUGACGGUACCGUAAGAAUAAGCACCGGCUAACUACGUGCCAGCAGCCGCCGUAA
rnacentral:rRNA from 1 species